rnacentral:lncRNA from 10 species
ACAGAAAGCAAUCAAGAGAAAUGGGGAUCAAAAGAGCACAAGCUACACACCAGGCUGUGAACAAAAAUACUGAAAGGAUAGGAGAAAGUUAAAAGGAGAAGUAGAGAGUAGAUACGGGAAAUACUGAAUAAAUGUGUCAAAAAUAGGUAAGGAGAAGAAAGAGGAAGUAAAAGUGAAAUUGUCAUGAUAGAACUAUCUAGAAAAGGAAAAGAAAAAAAAAAAUCAAGGG